AACGAACGCUGGCGGCAUGCCUAACACAUGCAAGUCGAACGAGACCUUCGGGUCUAGUGGCGCACGGGUGCGUAACGCGUGGGAACCUGCCCUUAGGUUGGGAAUAACUCCCCGAAAGGGGUGCUAAUACCGGAAAAUGUCCUGGGACCAAAGAUUUAUCGCCUUUGGAUGGGCCCGCGUUGGAUUAGCUAGUUGGUAGGGUAAAAGCCUACCAAGGCGACGAUCCAUAGCUGGUCUGAGAGGAUGAUCAGCCACACUGGGACUGAGACACGGCCCAGACUCCUACGGGAGGCAGCAGUGGGGAAUAUUGGACAAUGGGCGAAAGCCUGAUCCAGCAAUGCCGCGUGAGUGAUGAAGGCCUUAGGGUUGUAAAGCUCUUUUACCCGGGAUGAUAAUGACAGUACCGGGAGAAUAAGCUCCGGCUAACUCCGUG
rnacentral:rRNA from 1 species